GUUUCCGUAGUGUAGUGGUUAUCAUGUUUGCCUAACGUGUGAAAGGUCCCCUGUUCGAAACAGGGCGGAAGCA